AACGAACGCUGGCGGCAUGCCUAACACAUGCAAGUCGAACGAGACCUUCGGGUCUAGUGGCGCACGGGUGCGUAACACGUGGGAAUCUGCCCUUUGCUUCGGAAUAACAGUUAGAAAUGACUGCUAAUACCGGAUGAUGUCGAAAGACCAAAGAUUUAUCGGCAAAGGAUGAGCCCGCGUAGGAUUAGGUAGUUGGUGGGGUAAAGGCCUACCAAGCCGACGAUCCUUAGCUGGUCUGAGAGGAUGAUCAGCCACACUGGGACUGAGACACGGCCCAGACUCCUACGGGAGGCAGCAGUGGGGAAUAUUGGACAAUGGGCGAAAGCCUGAUCCAGCAAUGCCGCGUGAGUGAUGAAGGCCUUAGGGUUGUAAAGCUCUUUUACCAGGGAUGAUAAUGACAGUACCUGGGGAAUAAGCUCCGGCUAACUCCGUG
rnacentral:rRNA from 1 species